CUACACUAAAAGAGUUGGACUUGAGAAAUUAGAAUACGAGAGAGAGAGAGAGAGAUAGAGAGAGAGAGAGAUGGCAAGUUCGGCGAGAUGGGGCUAUAUCAGGAUCAUAACAGGUACGAUCCUGGGGGGCGUCCUCGGCUUCUACGUUAUGCACCAGCUCGAAACCAGCUACAAGGAGAAGAUGAAGGAGAGGCUACUCGAAUAUGAAAUGGAAAAGAGGAAGAGAGAGCUUCUAGAAGAUCCCUCUUCCCCUCCUCCACAAUCUCUUCCCGAUUCUUGAGUUGUUGUCAUCUUUUUUGUCUUUUCUUUUCUUUUUCUUUUUCUUUUAAAUUUUUUUUUUUUUCUCAUGUUCUGAGGGAAUAGUUUGAUGAUGCUGCAGUUCCACAGUCUAGUCAAAUUGAAAUCUGAGAAGGCUGUCACUAUUGGGAAAAGGCAAGUGGAUGAAGUCUUUUAGGCACUCAGUUUCUCCCAUGUGUAUUUUAAAUUCAAGAGCAGUCUCCCAUGUGUAUUUUAACUUCAAUAGCAGAGUAUGGAAUCAUGUUUCCGGGCAGUUUAUGGUAUGCAUUCCUUCUGUGUGAAGAUUAAUGGAGAUUUUUUAUUUUUUAUUUUUGUUCUUCAGGGGACUUCUUUUUAAUGCUCAUGAGUCACUUUUCUGUUA